rnacentral:rRNA from 1 species
AUCUAUGGCCAUGCCACCCUGAACAAGCCUGAUGUCUGAUCUCGGAAGCUAAGCAGGGUUGGGCCUGGUUAGCACUGGAAUGGGAGACCACCUAGGAAGACCAGGUGCUGUAGACA